AAUCAACGCUGGCGGCGCGCUUAACACAUGCAAGUCGAACGAGAAAGGGGGGCAACCCCCGAGUAAAGUGGCGUACGGGUGAGUAACACGUGGGUAAUCUGCCUCUGGGUGGGGAAUAACUCUGGGAAACCGGAGCUAAUACCGCAUAAGACCGGAAGGUGAAAGGCGAAAGUCGCCGAGAGAGGAGCCCGCGGCUGAUUAGCUGGAUGGUGGGGUAAAGGCUCACCAUGGCAAUGAUCAGUAGCCGGCCUGAGAGGGCACACGGCCACACUGGCACUGAAACACGGGCCAGACUCCUACGGGAGGCAGCAGUGGGGAAUCUUGCACAAUGGGGGAAACCCUGAUGCAGCGACGCCGCGUGAGCGAUGAAGCCCUUCGGGGUGUAAAGCUCUUUCGGCAGGACGAUGAUGACGGUACCUGAAGAAGAAGCUGCGGCUAACUACGUGCCAGCAGCCGCGGUAAUACGUAGGCAGCGAGCGUUGUUCGGAGUUACUGGGCGU
rnacentral:rRNA from 1 species